UGAGGACAGCCUUCUAGCAAAAGCCAUGGGCACUGAAUUGAAAAAAACAUGCUGUGCAAAACACAUUUGGUGGGUGAAUUCAUUGAUCCAGUAACGAGCUUGAUGAGCCUGAGCCUGAGUUGCAGUGAGGGGGGUGAAUGAUAAGAUCAGGAGUGGGACUUGGAGGAAUAAGCUGCAUUUAGGAAAUGAGCAGAAGAAAGGUAGAGCUAAGGCCAUGAGGGCCAGAAGAGACGACUGGGGAGCAAAGGACGUAGGUGAGGGAGGAGGAAAUGAAGAAUUUAUACUGAAGGAACAACAAGGAUGACUUUUAGGAGGAGGGUGGUGAAUGGAAGAACCCUGAGACAAAGGAAGACAUCACCAGCCAGGGGAGGAUCACAGAAAGGAAGCCCUUUCGCCCUAGAAAUGUACCUGCUUGAGAAGCUCUGCAGUGUGUUGAGGAAAGAAGCAAUGAUACCAUGUGAGGGAAGUACAAUAGACUAGAAGUUGUGUCCCCCACUCCAAAUUUAUAUGAAAUCUUCAUCCCCAAGGUGAUGGUAUCAGGAGGUGGUGCCUUUGGGAGAUGAUUAGGUCAAGAGGUCAGAGCUCUCUUGAGUGGGAUUAGUGCCCUUAUAAAAGAGGCCUGAAGGCCGGGCGUGGUGGCUCAUGCCUGUAAUCUCAGCACUCUGGGAGGCCAAGGCAGACGGAUCAUCUGAGGUCGGGAGUUCGAGACCAGCCUGGCCAACAUGGUGAAAACCCAUCUCUACUAAAAAUACAAAAAUUAGCUGGGCGUGGUGUCAUGCGCCUGUAAUCCCAGCUACUCAGGAGGCUGACGCAGGAGAAUCGCUUCAAUCCCGUAGGCAGAGGUUUCACUGAGCCUAGAUCGAUCGCGCCACUGCACUCCAACCUGGGUGACAGAGUGAUACUCCGUCUCAAAAAACUAAACUAAAAUAAAUAAAUAAAAAAAAGAGGACUGAGGGAGAUCCCCUCGCCCCUUCCACCAUGUAAGGACACAGCUGGAAGGCACCAUUCUAUGAACCAGGUAACAGAUCCUCACCAGACAUCAAAACUGCUGGUACCUGAAUCUUGAACUUCAGCCUCCAGAACUGUGACAAAUAAAUCUCUGUUGUUCAUAAGCCA
rnacentral:lncRNA from 10 species